rnacentral:rRNA from 1 species
CGAGCACGAGGUAGCAAUACUUUGGUGGCGACCGGCGCACGGGUGCGUAACGCGUAUGCAACCUACCUUUAACAGGGGCAUAACACUGAGAAAUUGGUACUAAUUCCCCAUAACAUUCGAGAAGGCAUCUUCUUGGGUUAAAAACUCCGGUGGUUAAAGAUGGGCAUGCGUUGUAUUAGCUAGUUGGUGAGGUAACGGCUCACCAAGGCAACGAUACAUAGGGGGACUGAGACACGGCCCAG